AUUGAACGCUGGCGGAAUGCUUUACACAUGCAAGUCGAACGAUGAACCUUAGCUUGCUAAGGGGAUUAGUGGCGAACGGGUGGGUAAUGUAUCGGAACGUAUCCAAUAAUGGGGGAUAACUAGUCGAAAGAUUAGCUAAUACCGCAUACGUCCUACGGGAGAAAGCUAGGGACCUUCGGGCCUGGCGUUAAUGGAGCGGCCGAUAUCUGAUUAGCUAGUUGGUGGGGUAAAGGCUCACCAAGGCGACGAUCAGUAGCUGGUCUGAGAGGACGACCAGCCACACUGGAACUGAGACACGGUCCAGACUCCUACGGGAGGCAGCAGUGGGGAAUUUUGGACAAUGGGCGAAAGCCUGAUCCAGCCAUUCCGCGUGAGUGAAGAAGGCCUUCGGGUUGUAAAGCUCUUUCGCAAGGGAAGAAAACUUAAGCUCUAACAUAGCUUGUGGUUGACGGUACCUUGAUAAGAAGCACCGGCUAACUACGUGCCAGCAGCCGCCGUAA
rnacentral:rRNA from 1 species